UGCGCAGGCGGAAUGAUAAGUCAGUGGUGAAAUCCUACGGCUCAACUGUAGAACUGCCAUUGAUACUGUCGUUCUUGAGUACACUUGGAGUGGGCGGAAUGUGUCAUGUAGCGGUGAAAUGCUUAGAUAUGACACAGAACACCGAUCGCGAAGGCAGCUCACUAAAUUGUAACUGACGCUCAGGCACGAAAGCGUGGGGAUCAAACAG
rnacentral:rRNA from 1 species